GGGUGCGAUCAUACCAGCGUUAAUGCACUGGAUCCCAGCAGAACACUGCAGUUAAGCGCGCUUGGGAUAGAGUAGUACUGGGAUGGGUGACCUCCCGGGAAGUCCUAUUGUUGCACCCU
rnacentral:rRNA from 1 species